CACGCAGGGCGCGAGCGUUGUCCGGAAUUACUGGGCGUAAAGAGCUCGUAGGUGGUUUGUCGCGUUGUCCGUGAAAACUCACAACUCAAUUGUGGGCGUGCGGGCGAUACGGGCAGACUGGAGUACUGCAGGGGAGACUGGAAUUCCUGGUGUAGCGGUGGAAUGCGCAGAUAUCAGGAGGAACACCGGUGGCGAAGGCGGGUCUCUGGGCAGUAACUGACGCUGAGGAGCGAAAGCGUGGGGAGCGAACAGG
rnacentral:rRNA from 1 species